rnacentral:rRNA from 1 species
GAUGAACGCUAGCGGCAGGCCUAAUACAUGCAAGUCGAACGGUGUCUUCGGACGUAGUGGCGCACGGGUGCGUAACACGUAUGCAACCUACCUUACAUUGGGGGAUAGCCUUUCGAAAGGGAGAUUAAUACCGCAUAAGACAGUAGCUGGGCAUCCAGCAGCUGUUAAAGAUUUAUCGAUGUAAGCUGGGCAUGCGUCCAAUUAGCUAGUUGGUGAGGUAACGGCUCACCAAGGCAAUGAUUGGUAGGGGAACUGAGAGGUCAAUCCCCCACACUGGCGCUGAGAUACGGGCCAGACUCCUACGGGAGGCAGCAGUAGGGAAUAUUGGGCAAUGGACGCAAGUCUGACCCAGCCAUGCCGCGGGCAGGAUGAAGGCGUUAUGCGUUGUAAACUGCUUUUAUACAGGAAGAAACGACUCUUGCGAGAGGCAUUGACGGUACUGUAUGAAUAAGCACCGGCUAACUCCGUGCCAGCAGCCGCGGUAAGAC